rnacentral:rRNA from 1 species
CCGCCGGCGACCGGCGCACGGGUGAGUAACACGUAUGCAACCUGGCCGUGACAGAUGGAUAACCGGGAGAAAUCCCGCCUAAUACAACAUAAUGCCGGGAGGGGACAUCCCCUGCCGGCCAAAGGGGGCGACCCCGGUCACGGAUGGGCAUGCGGCGCAUUAGGUAGUUGGUGGGGCAACGGCCCACCAAGCCGACGAUGCGUAGGGGUUCUGAGAGGAAGGUCCCCCACAUUGGUACUGAGACACGGACCAGACUCCUACGGGAGGCAGCAG